rnacentral:rRNA from 1 species
GACGAACGCUGGCGGCGUGCUUAACACAUGCAAGUCGAACGGAAAGGCCCUGCUUUUGUGGGGUGCUCGAGUGGCGAACGGGUGAGUAACACGUGAGUAACCUACCCUUGACUUUGGGAUAACUUCAGGAAACUGGGGCUAAUACCGGAUAGGAGCUCCUGCUGCAUGGUGGGGGUUGGAAAGUUUCGGCGGUUGGGGAUGGACUCGCGGCUUAUCAGCUUGUUGGUGGGGUAGUGGCUUACCAAGGCUUUGACGGGUAGCCGGCCUGAGAGGGUGACCGGCCACAUUGGGACUGAGAUAAGGCCCAGAAUCCUACGGGAGGCAGCAGUGGGGAAUAUUGCACAAUGGGCGGGAGCCUGAUGCAGCAACGCCGCGUGCGGGAUGACGGGCUUCGGGUUGUAAACCGCUUUCGGCUGUGACGAAGCGUGAGUGACGGUAAUGGGUAAAGAAGCACCGGCUAACUACGUG